CCAAACUUGGUCAUUUAGAGGAAGUAAAAGUCGUAACAAGGUUUCCGUAGGUGAACCUGCGGAAGGAUCAUUAAUGAAGUUUGGGCUUCGGCCCUCUCUCUUCUAAAACACUUGUGAACAUACCCUGUUGCUUUGGCAGGUCUUCCGACGGAGGUUCCAAACUUCCCGAGGAUCAGAUCGAGAGAUGCCUGCCAAGGACAUUCAAUCACCCUUUUUUUAUCGUCUGAUUUUUUGUUUUAAACAAAAUAUAAUAAAACUUUCAACAAUGGAUCUCUUGGCUCUGGCAUCGAUGAAGAACGCAGC
rnacentral:misc_RNA from 1 species